rnacentral:lncRNA from 1 species
UCGCUUUAUUUUUUUUAAAAGAAAAACAAUUAACUGGACACACGUGUUUCUCCUUCCACUCUCUUACAUAUUUUUUUUAAGACCCCUCCAUUUUCUUCUUCCUUCUUUCACGUUAGAGAAAUUCACUCAUUUCCAGAACUGAGUGUUUAGAAGACUGGCUGAGAAACGAGCUAGUGGAGUUGGGUUGGAAUUUUUAAAUUCCUGCACGGUCUGACAAUUACGUACAUCUGUCUCCAAACAAUAAAAGUGUUUGGAACGCACAACGAUGCGAAGCAAUGGAAGGCGCACGAAGCAGCGGGCACCAGACAGCUGCUGUGCGCCGUGUCACAAAGGCUGCCGUGCAGCGCGCGAGCUGGGAGUCACAACCCCAGGCUCGCUUCGGCUUCAAAGGCAUCGGAUGCCAAAGCAAGCCGGCUCCGGACACCGCGACCACCGAGGCGGUGGGGGUGCACGCUCCAGGCGCUCCUCGGAGGCCGAGGCUGGAAAGAAAUUUCUACCUACCCAUCAUCAGGUAUGAUACUGGAUCCCUGCUCCCAUCACUCAUGGCCACUCUAAGUCAUAGGGGGAGACAAUAAGGAGAUCGGCAGACCCACCACACCCACACCAAAAGGGAGAGAAGAUGUCUGCAAAGAAUGAAGGUGGGCAAACAACUUGCUUACUUCACAGUGGAUGAAUGAACAAAAGCAAAGGAUAGCUACUGUGCACCUCAACCUACAAGGUUGCAUUCUGUAGUAAAGUAAAAGAGUGAAGCUCUCAAACCUCCUGUUGCCUCUGUUACAAUUUUUUGUGCAUUUGAAAAAUGAUCUAAUGGAGUGGGAACUGAGAAUAAAUGAAGCACAAUUGUAUUUAGUGUUGUUUUGGGAUGCUGAUGAUAGGUCUGUUGGUGAUGCUGGAGACAGAGCUAUGAAGAAGUGAGAGGCUACAGAAAACUGUGGUAGAACAGGAGCUGUAGCAAAGGUAGUACAAUCAAAGGCAGGGUAAGGGACAAGGCAUCAGCCUACUAGAAGAGUAUCAGUAAAGCAAGAACAGAAGAGAGAGGAAAAGAGAAAA